CCUACGGGAGGCUGCAGUGAGGAAUAUUGGUCAAUGGACGAGAGUCUGAACCAGCCAAGUAGCGUGAAGGAUGACUGCCCUAUGGGUUGUAAACUUCUUUUAUAUGGGAAUAAAAUGUUCCACGUGUGGGAUUUUGUAUGUACCAUAUGAAUAAGGAUCGGCUAACUCCGUGCCAGCAGCCGCGGUAAUACGGAGGAUCCGAGCGUUAUCCGGAUUUAUUGGGUUUAAAGGGAGCGUAGGUGGAUUGGUAAGUCAGUUGUGAAAGUUUGCGGCUCAACCGUAAAAUUGCAGUUGAAACUGGCAGUCGUGAGUACAGUAGAGGUGGGCGGAAUUCGUGGUGUAGCGGUGAAAUGCUUAGAUAUCACGAAGAACUCCGAUUGCGAAGGCAGCUCACUGGACUGCAACUGACACUGAGGCUCGAAAGUGUGGGUAUCAAACAGGAUUAAAUACCCGAGUAGUC
rnacentral:rRNA from 1 species